rnacentral:lncRNA from 1 species
AGAGGAGAGGAGAGGAGAGGAAAGGGGUUGGGGUUGGGUGUGUGUCGAGUUCAGAGGGAGGUGCGCCGCAACUCAGAGUCGCGGUUGAGGGGUGCCGCACCUGGGAGGUGCGGCAGAGCGUAACCGCAUUUGGGAGAUGCGGCAGUCGUUAGCCGCAGUUCGAGACGCGGCGAGCUGGGCGGGGGGUGCUUGCGAGUUGCGGCAGAGUAGCUGAGUUGCGGCAGCUGAGUUGCGGCAGAGGUGAGUUGUGGCAGGGAGAUGAGUUGCGGCAUAGGUAUUGCAAUGAUUAGGGUUUUGCUUUUUUUUUUUUCAUUCUGUUUUAAAUAUAUUUUUUUUAUUUUAAAUUUUGUAUAUUAAUAUGUAUUUAUUUUUUACUUUUAUUUUAUUUUAUUUGUUUGUGAAAUUGAAUUUAAUACAUAAUUUUUUUAACUUGUUUAUUUAAUUAAAGAAUAUAUAAUUUACGUAAUUUAU